rnacentral:lncRNA from 1 species
GUUCUCACUAAAAUUCUAAGAAUCAGUUACUGUUAUUAACCUCGUUUCACGGAUGAGAAAACUGCAGCAGAGAAUGGUUCGGUUACUUGUGCAAGGUCACACGGCUAAUAAAAGGAAGAGGUGGGCUUCAAACCCAGGCAUGCUGGCUCCAACUCGGUGCUCUUAACUGCUCCACUGAGGCAAGCUGCGUCUCUUCUCAGGGAAAGCAACUAUCUCAUGUAAAUAAAUACCUGGUAAAUUUGAUCUACCAGUUCAUCGUAUAUUCCAGCGAUGCACAAAAGGUUUGUUCCUGAGUCUCAUAAGUAUAGCAAAAAGAAAAAAGAAAACACUGCUUAUUAAACCCACUUUCCCAUACACUGUUGAGAAGAAGCCAUUUAAAAGGCUCUCCUUUGCUGUGGAUGUCUCAAAGGCACACUCCCUGAGCAAGAGGGAAUUCUCCAACAGAUUGCCUUUGGACUUCAUCUGUACCAUCAGCUCUUCUAGGUCAUCAGCCUGCUGGCCUUUAGCCUGGAACUGGAACAGUGGCUCUGCUGAGUCUCCAGCCUGCCAACCCACACUGCAGCUGGACUAGUCAGCUUCCAUAGCCACAUGAGCCAAUUCCUUAUAAAAAAUAUCUUUCUAUAUAUGCACACAUAUUCUAUUAGUUCUAUUUCUCUAGAGAAUCCUAAUACACCUGCGUUCUCAUUAAUAUACAUUCCAAACCUGGG